GCCCUUGCGGAUCCGCGGCCGCUGCAGAGUUUGAUCUGGCUCAGGACGAACGCUGGCGGCGCGCUUAACACAUGCAAGUCAACGAGAAAGGGGUAGCAAUACUCCGAGUAAAGUGGCGCACGGGUGAGUAACGCAUAGGAAUCUGCCUACAGGCGGGGGAUAACUGUUCGAAAGAGCAGCUAAUACCGCAUAAGGCGUAGCGAUACGUCAAAGGCCCAAGUGGGCUGCCUGUAGAUGAGCCUAUGUCCGAUUAGCUAGUUGGCGGGGUAAGAGCCCACCAAGGCGAUGAUCGGUAGCUGGUCUGAGAGGAUGAUCAGCCACACUGGAACUGAGACACGGUCCAGACUCCUACGGGAGGCAGCAGUGAGGAAUAUUGGGCAAUGCCCGCAAGGUGACCCAGCGACGCCGCGUGGAGGAAGAAGGUCGUAAGAUUGUAAACUCCUGUCGGCGGGGACGAAAGUUAUGCGUAGUGGAAAGACGCAUAAUUGACUGUACCCGCAGAGGAACCCCUGGCUAACUACGUGCCAGCAGCCGCGGUAAUACGUGGGGGGGCAGCGUUGUCCGGAUUCACUGGGUGUAAAGGGCGCGUAGGCGGCUAUAUAAGUCAGCGGUGAAAUCAUACGCCUUAACCGUAGC
rnacentral:rRNA from 1 species